rnacentral:rRNA from 1 species
UACGAAGGGGGCUAGCGUUGUUCGGAAUUACUGGGCGUAAAGCGCACGUAGGCGGAUAUUUAAGUCAGGGGUGAAAUCCCAGAGCUCAACUCUGGAACUGCCUUUGAUACUGGGUAUCUCGAGUAUGGAAGAGGUUAGUGGAACUGCGAGUGUAGAGGUGAAAUUCGUAGAUAUUCGCAAGAACACCAGUGGCGAAGGCGGCUGACUGGUCCGGUUCUGACGCGUGAGGCGGCGAAAAGCGUGGGGAGCAACAGG